rnacentral:rRNA from 1 species
CCUACGGGGGGCUGCAGUGGGGAAUUUUGCGCAAUGGGCGAAAGCCUGACGCAGCAACGCCGCGUGGGUGAUGAAGGUCUUCGGAUCGUAAAACCCUGUCGUUGGGGGCGAAGGUGGGGGCGUUAAUAGCGUUUCUGCUUGACGGUACCCGGAGAGGAAGCCCCGGCUAACUCUGUGCCAGCAGCCGCGGUAAUACAGAGGGGGCAAAUUGUAUUCGGAGGGCGUGGGCGCGGUUGUUUCGGACACAUGUGUAAUCCCCUAGCUCAACUUGGGAACUGCAUCUGAGACUGGAAGGCUAGAGUACUGGAGAGGGUGGUGGAAUUCCUCGUGUAGCGGUGAAAUGCGUAGAGAUGAGGAGGAACACCAGUGGCGAAGGCGGCCACCUGGACAGUAACUGACGCUGAGGCGCGAAAGUGUGGGUAGCAAACAGGAUUAGAUACCCGAGUAGUC